CCGAGUUUACAACUCCCAAACCCAAUGUGAACGUUACCAAACUGUUGCCUCGGCGGGAUCUCUGCCCCGGGUGCGUCGCAGCCCCGGACCAAGGCGCCCGCCGGAGGACCAACCAAAACUCUUAUUGUAUACCCCCUCGCGGGUUUUUUUAUAAUCUGAGCCUUCUCGGCGACUCUCGUAGGCGUUUCGAAAAUGAAUCA
rnacentral:misc_RNA from 1 species